GGAGGUGUGGCCGAGUGGUUUAAGGCAGCAGUCUUGAAAACUGCCGACUGUAACAGCUCCCAGAGUUCGAAUCUCUGCGCCUCCGCCA
rnacentral:tRNA from 1 species